AUUGAACGCUGGCGGCAGGCCUAACCCAUGCAAGUCGAACGAGUGGCGGACGGGUGAGUAAUGUCUGGGAAACUGCCUGAUGGAGGGGGAUAACUACUGGCAACGGUAGCUACUACCGCAUACCAUCAGAUGUUCCCAGAUGGGAGUAGCUUGUUGGUGGGGUAACGGCUCACCAAGGCGACGAUCCCUAGCUGGUCUGAGAGGAUGACCAGCCAAACUGGAACUGAGACACGGUCCAGACUCCGACGUGAGGCAGCAGGGGGGAAUAUUGCACAAUGGGCGCAAGCCUGAUGCAGCCAUGCCGCGUGUAUUAAGAAGGCCUUCGGGUUGUAAAGUACGUUCAGCGGGGAGGCGUUACCCGCAGAAGAAGCACCGGCUAACUCCGUGCCAGCCGCCGCGGUAAUUC
rnacentral:rRNA from 1 species